UUGCCAGAAAUAGGAAAUUUAAAGCCAAAAAGUCCAUCAAUUUUACCUGAAGCUUCAGAAGAUCCCGUGAAGAAUGUACAAUAAUCAGCAGUUUGCUUACUUCCACACCAACAGAAGGAAAUUUACACUUAUAUGCCCUGAAGAAUUGACUCAUUUCUGUAAAUGACAUAUGGUGGAGAAUCCUUUUUGAAAAUAAAUACUCCUGUUUUCAUGCUGAA